GAUGAACGCUGGCGGCGUGCCUAAUACAUGCAAGUCGAGCGAACAGAUGAGGAGCUUGCUCCUCUGACGUUAGCGGCGGACGGGUGAGUAACACGUGGAUAACCUACCUAUAAGACUGGGAUAACUUCGGGAAACCGGAGCUAAUACCGGAUAAUAUAUUGAACCGCAUGGUUCAAUAGUGAAAGACGGUUUUGCUGCCACUUAUAGAUGGAUCCGCGCCGCAUUAGCUAGUUGGUAAGGUAACGGCUUACCAAGGCAACGAUGCGUAGCCGACCUGAGAGGGUGAUCGGCCACACUGGAACUGAGACACGGUCCAGACUCCUACGGGAGGCAGCAGUAGGGAAUCGUCCGCAAUGGGCGAAAGCCUGACGGAGCAACGCCGCGUGAGUGAUGAAGGUCUUCGGAUCGUAAGACUCUGUUAUUAGGGAAGAACAAAUGUGUAAGUAACUAUGCACGUCUUGACGGUACCUAAUCAGAAAGCCACGGCUAACUACGUG
rnacentral:rRNA from 1 species